CGGGUGCUAACGUCCGUCGUGAAAAGGGAAACAACCCAGACCGCCAGCUAAGGUCCCAAAGUUGUGGUUAAGUGGUAAACGAUGUGGGAAGGCUUAGACAGCUAGGAGGUUGGCUUAGAAGCAGCCACCCUUUAAAGAAAGCGUAAUAGCUCACUAGUCGAGUCGGCCUGCGCGGAAGAUGUAACGGGGCUCAAACCACACACCGAAGCUGCGGGUGUCACGUAAGUGACGCGGUAGAGGAGCGUUCUGUAAGCC
rnacentral:rRNA from 1 species